CUCCUCUCCUUCGGCUUCGCAACAACAACCUAUACUUCAUAUUUCAUUCAAGUCAUGGCGGCUUUCGGUGCUGCGAUUUCUCUCAAGAAUACCCUUCAGACUAUUCGACAAUCGUCUCGCAUCUCUCUAGCUCCUCCUCCUUCACAAAUCUUACGACCCGCCUACGAUGCCAUGGUUCGCUUGCAGAAAGCUUUGCUAAAGUUGGAGGAGACCGGAUACAGCAAGAUCAGGACGGAGGUGAAUGCUUUGGACGACCGAAUCAAAGAGGCCAUAUGGGAAUUCGAAGAUUUACUAGAAUCUCAUGUGUAUCAGCAGAUUCUUCCACAAGUUGAAGGUGAGAGAGAUCACUUGUCUUUCUCGGUAGAUCUGCAGAGUCUGCGACAGAGUGUUGAUUGCUUUGUGGAGAUGGUGGCGGUGAUGGAAGUGGAGUUCGAAACUAAACUGCUGAAUAUGCCUGAGGAAGAAGGUGAGCCUCUUUCCUCAAGAAUUGAUUGUCGUGGAAUCAACUCAAAUAUGGUUGGAUUAUCUAAUAAAUUUGAGAAUGUGCGGGAUUAUCUUCUUCGGGAAAGUAACUGGAACUGCUGUAAAAUUUUGGGGAUGGCAGGAGUUGGAAAGACAACAUUUGCUAAGAAAUUAUUUGACGAUCCAUUACUCAAGAGUCAUUUCGAGCUUCGAGUAUGGGUUAAAGUGGGCAGAAAAUGUGAAUCUAAUGAAAUAUUACGAUGCAUUCUUGCUCAAGUGGAUCACGACCAAAUUCUUACCCAAGGAGACGAAGACAACGAUAAGAAAUUGGUUGGACUAUUGGAAGAGAAGUCGAAGGAUAGGAAAUGUUUAAUUGUGUUGGAUGAUGUAUGGAAAUGGGAUGCGCUCGUUAUGGAUAACUUGCCACAAGAUAAUGUUCGAAUAUUGCUAACAAGCAGGCAAAAUAUAGAAGAAGAAAGUAAGAAACUACUUGGCGAGAAGGUGUUCGGUGAAGAGGGUUUCCCUCCUCACCUUGAUGAACUAGGAGAGAAGAUUGCCAAAAAAUGUGAAGGUCUUCCACUUAUGAUAGUUACAGUUGCAGAGCUCUUAUCUAAAGAAGGAACAACCACGGAAAAUUGGACUGAGGUAGCUGAAAAACAACAUAAUUCAGUAUUCGUGGAUGCAUAUGAUCAAAUAGCAGAGGUACUUUUCCCAAGCUAUGACUACUUACCUCAACAUUUGAAGAUGUUAUUUCUGUAUUUAGGAGCUUACCCUCCAUAUAUAGAUAUUCAACUACACAUCAUUUUAAACCUGUUGAAAACUGAGAGGUUUCUUGAGGCUUUAAGUAAACAAAUUCUGGAUUAUAUAAGAGCUUUUAAUGAUGUUUUGAUCCAAGUCAUAUUAAGAUUCUUGGUUUUCAAAGGAUAUGUUUCGUGUGCAUUCUUGCUGGCAGCACUUUUGUAAGAAAGAAGCAACUAGGAUUAAGUUUUUGCAUGUUUUACACAGCUACGAUGAUGUUGUGAAAGAUCAACGUCGGUUGUGUGCCCAUGGAAUCUCUUUAUUUUGCUUCAAAGAAGUGUGUGAAAAAAUAAAAAAUGAUUGUGCAUCCACUGUCCGUUCUCUCCUUUGUCUUGGUCCUUACCACCAAUAUUCAGUGCCAAUACAUGCAAUGGAUUUCAAGUUGCUCAAGGUACUGGAUGCUGGAAGGGUCCGAUUUUAUCAUUUCCCACUUGAAAUUUUCAAUCUAAUUUGUCUAAAGUACCUUUGCCUAACUUGCAACAAAGAGAUCCCGGUUUCUAUAUCCAACCUUUUUCACCUUCAAUUCUUGACUAUCUAUCAGCAUUUGAACAUAAAAAAACGUGGAGCAUUGUCAUGUAUGCCAGUGGAAAUAUGGGACAUGCAAGAAUUAAAAUAUAUUGAGGUGAGGGGAAAAGACCUACCGACCCCUGAUUCUUCUGCUGCUGCAUUGGAUAGACUUUUCGGUCUUUGUGGUGUGAGUGAAAAGAGUUGCACAAGAGAAAUUCUCAAGAGAAUGCCUAAUUUAAGCAUGUUAGAGAUUGUGGUAGAAUUGGACGAAGAUGAUGAUAGAAACCCAUUGAGUAACUUGGGUUAUAUAUCAAAGGAACUCAGAUAUUUGAAUUCACUUACGUAUAAUGUGAAGUAUCCUGAUAUUAAGCGUGUGUUUAUGGUUCCUCUAUCAAUGUUCCCAUCAAGUUUGAGAAGUUUGAAUUUGAGAGGCUUAGGGUGUCCAUGGAAGCACAUGAAUGACAUUGGUUCGUUGCUACCAAAUCUUAUGUACCUCAAGUUACAUAACUAUGCCUUUCGAGGCCCCGAGUGGAAUAUAGAAUCGGGAAGUUUUUUGAAACUUGAGACAAUUGUAAUUGAGGACACCGAUUUGGUGCGAUGGAUAUCUCAACAGGGAAGUCUCCCAAGGCUUCGCCUCCUAAGCAUGUGCCAUUGCUACAAAUUACAACAAUUCGAUUGGACGCGUGAUCCCUCAAUGGUCACCACUACAAUUGAGUUAGUUGAGUGCAAUCCCUCAGCUGUCGCUUCAGCCAAGCAAUUAAGACCUGAAUCUGUCUUUAGAAUUCGUUCUCACUCUUCUUUUUGAUUCGAGAAAUCUUGGCUCGACUCUCAACUUGGUUAACAGUUAACAGGGAUCUGUGGUGAUUUUGGAUAAGCUCGAGUGGGAGUGCAUGGAGUAGUGAAGAUUGGCCAAUCUGUUGGCCUCAGUUAAACUAUGAAGGGAUUAAGAGAAAGUUACUUAUUGAAGAGGGUCUACCAGCUCAAAUGUGCCGCGCACGUGGGUACUACUGUUCUGUGGUUGGGAGGAAGUAUGUAAUAAGAAAAUUGUAGGUUUAGUUGGAUGUUUUUGCAUAUUUUAGUUCGUUCGUAUUUCAUCACCAUGUUUGAACUUGUUGUUCCAUUUAAGGUCGAAAGGAGGACUGAUGACAAUGCCAAACUAA